rnacentral:rRNA from 1 species
UAACCGGCGAUUUCCGAAUGGGGAAACCCAGUGUGAUUCGUCACACUAUCAUUAACUGAAUCCAUAGGUUAAUGAGGCGAACCGGGGGAACUGAAACAUCUAAGUACCCCGAGGAAAAGAAAUCAACCGAGAUUCCCCCAGUAGCGGCGAGCGAACGGGGAGCAGCCCAGAGCCUGAAUCAGUGUGUGUGUUAGUGGAAGCGUCUGGAAAGGCGCGCGAUACAGGGUGACAGCCCCGUACACAAAAAUGCACAUAUUGUGAGCUCGAUGAGUAGGGCGGGACACGUGGUAUCCUGUCUGAAUAUGGGGGGCCCAUCCUCCAAGGCUAAAUACUCCUGACUGACCGAUAGUGAACCAGUACCGUGAGGGAAAGGCGAAAAGAACCCCGGCGAGGGGAGUGAAAAAGAACCUGAAACCGUGUACGUACAAGCAGUGGGAGCACGCUUAGGCGUGUGACUGCGUACCUUUUGUAUAAUGGGUCAGCGACUUAUAUUCUGUAGCAAGGUUAACCGAAUAGGGGAGCCGAAGGGAAACCGAGUCUUAACUGGGCGUUAAGUUGCAGGGUAUAGACCCGAAACCCGGUGAUCUAGCCAUGGGCAGGUUGAAGGUUGGGUAACACUAACUGGAGGACCGAACCGACUAAUGUUGAAAAAUUAGCGGAUGACUUGUGGCUGGGGGUGAAAGGCCAAUCAAACCGGGAGAUAGCUGGUUCUCCCCGAAAGCUAUUUAGGUAGCGCCUCGUGAAUUCAUCUCCGGGGGUAGAGCACUGUUUCGGCAAGGGGGUCAUCCCGACUUACCAACCCGAUGCAAACUGCGAAUACCGGAGAAUGUUAUCACGGG